UCGUUCUCGUACUUAUAAGUCGUUUACGAUGAUAGAGCUUCUGAAUCAACAAUUCAUAUCGUUAAACAUUUUUUAGAGCAUUUAAAGUUCCAGAAAAUAAGUUUUAUAAUUUUUUGACAUCAUUUACCUUACGAUUAAAAGCUCACAAAAUUGAUAAUUUUUAACGAUCGGUAUGGAAUAUUUGUUUGUUUAACGGUGCAAAGAAUUGGAAGAGGUUAAAUUUUUGAUAGAAAAUUCUAUUCACAACUUAGAUAAAGACCAAUAACUCUGAUCUUAAAUUGAUGGAUCCAAUCAUCCAUGUUUAGGACGUUGUUCGAUUUUGACCGUUCAUUUUAUAUCCUCUUGAUGGGCUUUAUUAUGAUUUUGAAAAAUUACGAAAUUUAUUUUCUACAAGUUUCAAAUACUCUAGAUCAUAUUUAACAGAGUGGAUCAUCGAUUCAGAAGCUCCAUUAUUAAAAACAACUUAUGAGUAUGAAGGGCCCAAUACUCAUAAGAGUAUAGUAGCCCUACUCUCUCUCUCUCUCUCUCU
rnacentral:lncRNA from 1 species